GCACUACCUGAGCCACUUGUGUGGGUUGUAGACUCCAUCUCAUGCUACCACUAGAGUGAAAGCACCGCCAGCAUUCAAAAGUGACCAAAACAUCAGCCAGGAAGCAUAGGAACUGAGAAGUGGUCUGUGGUCCCCACCUGCAGAACCACUCCUUUAUUGGGGGUGUCUUGCUAAUAGCCUAUAAUUUCCACCUGUUGUCUAUUCCAUUUGCACAACAGCAUGUCUAUUACGCAAGAAUUACUCUGAGAGCCCUCAGCCAGACACUUACGUAAUGUAGUCGUUUACGCUCAUUCUUCAACAUAAAGGCGUGAAACUACGUCAAUAUGCUGUCGACACCUUGGGGAAUACGUAGAAAAAGGAAUCUGGUUGAUAGCCCAUUCACUGCUCAAUAGGGACGCAUCGGAACGCAGAGCUUUCAAAACAUGAGUCACUUCCUGAUUGGAUUUUUCUCAGGCUUCCGCCUGCAAUAUCAGUUCUGUUAUACUCACAGACAAUAUUUUUACAGUUUUGCAAACUUUAGAGUGUUUUCUAUCCUAGGAUGUCAAUUAUAUGCAUAUUCUAGAAUCUUGUCCUGACAAAAUAGCCCGUUUUACUUUGGGAACGUUAUUUUUCCAAAAAUGAAAAUAGUGCCCCCUAGUUUCAAGAGGUUUUAAUAGACAAAAGUAAUACAAUAUACAAAAUAUUUUUGUUCAGAUAUGUACAGAUUGAAUGAAUCACAGCGGAUGUUUUCUCCUCCCUCCAGGACCAGCCUGUCAGUGCUUCUCCCUCAGGGUUCUGCUCAGGCAGAUCCAUCGACACCCUCGUCCUCAGGUCGUCACAACACCAAGCUGCCAUCCUUCAUCUCCCUUUCCAGCUCCCCCGAGGAUGCAGACGCUCCCGAUACGCCCCCCGCCGACAGGUCAAAGGUCACAGAGAGAACACUGCAGCUCAUGCCUCGACUCCAGAACUACAGGAGCUAGAAUGGAUUCUGCCUGAACAUCACCAAAUUAACUUUGAAAAUACUACAGAGACGUAUGUAUUGAAUGCUAAUGGCAGCGCUGAGGUUUCUGACUCACAUAUAUAUAUAUAUCUCACCUCUACCAUACUCAGGGUCUAUAAUGUCGUGCUCUUGUUAAAGUUGUUCUGUGGACUCAUACAUUUCAUAUAGCAAUGAUGUUUUUAAUACAGAUUUUAUUGAUAUGUGAACAUGUUUUGGUUCUUUGUAAAUUGGAGAUUGAAUAAUUUUGAAUAAAACGAAUGUUAUUACUGUACAUGCCUUUGUUGUGCUCUUAGGUCAGGUUGUGUGUGUGUCUGUGUGCAUGCGUGCGUUUGUGCGUGCGCUUGCAUGCGAGGUGAUGACAGGAGCAGCAGUGCCCUGAGACCAGGUCAUGGAGAAGAGACACUUGAGUACAGUGACAUCACCAUACCAAGUGUGUGUGACUAUCUGUGUAUUUAUAGAACGCUGUUUGGGUCUUUGCGUGUCAAAAAACACUAUUUAACGUGUCAAAUAAGCUUGUUGACCAAUCAGGACCCGAAUAUGACUGUACGUCACAAUCUUUUAAGACGUUCACAAAUUUGACCUAGUUAUUACACAAUAAUUACACUAUCACUCGUAUUUCAUGUCACAACGAUUCGCGGAUACGUAUGCUAUGACCCUGGUAAAGUCUUGUCUCGUGCACCUGCCACUACUGCACGAGCGCAGACACACUUCCCCAAACUGGACCGUGCUGGUUAGAAAAAAGCUAGCUAGCUGAUGGAUGCAAACAAUGUUCUUCCCCCAAAACAUAGCGAAACUACAUAAUCUGUUUUAGUAGCUAUAGUUAGCACGUGUCAUCACCCAAAAUACCCCUAAUUUACAAGACAGUUCUUAUUUGAUUAAUCGUGGUCGGACCCACCUACGUGAAGUUAGCCACAAUAGUGGAAUUUGCGGGUUGCCUUCAAAAUAAAGGUAUCUAAUUGAAAGUGCUGCAAAUAAUACAAACAAUGGAAUCUUGUCAUAAUGGAAUAGAUCAUGCUAAACGAGGUUGGAAUGUUCUUGUAUAAAUUCAACAAAAAUCUGUUGAAAUCACACUGGAUGUAUUAUACUUUAGAAUUGCAUUGGGGGCAUACUUAUUUCACUGUACAGCUUUACCUAUGGAAUGUGGAUCAAUGACAUGGGGUAUCAGUCUACUCAGUGACACCCAGAGAACAUUAGUGUCGUAGAUUUUAUUGCAGGACUCUGAAACAGUUGUGAAUUGAGACACAUUUAUUGUACCAGUCAACCUACUAUGUGUAUUGAACACCAUUCCAGAGGAAAAACAAUAUGACCUGGAUGUUUUGGAGCCUGAUAACUCUGAGGAGGACUUUGGGGAAAAAGCACUUGGGUACUGAGUAGACUGACAUCCCAUUUCAUUGAUCCCCAAUCAUUAGGUAUGGCUGUACAGUGCAAUAUGAAUUUCAAUACGCACAGUUGUGGCGGCAGGUAGCCUAGUGGUUAGAGCGUUGAACUAGUAACCGAAAGAUUGCAAGAUGGAAUCCCCGAGCUGACAAGGUAAAGAUCUGUCAUUCAGCCCCUGAACAAGGCAGUUAACCCACUGUUCCUAGGCUGUCAUUGAAAAUAAGAAUUUGUUCUUAACAGACUUGCCUAGUUAAAUAAACUGGGGAGGUGAUUUCCCACAGUCAAAGUCCUGCAAUAAGAGCUACGACGCUAAUAUCUCCAUAAACGCUUCACAGUUGUGUUGUCUGCGUGUCACCGAGUAGACUGACAGCCCAUUUCAUUGCUCCACAUUAUCAAGUCUAAAUAUGGCAUGACUUUCAAAGAGGGACUUUUAUUUUAAAGGCGAACUGCAAAUUCCACUAUUGUGGCUAAUCUUUAUUGUGGCUAGCUUCACAACACAACCUGGUCUGGUCAAGCCAUAGUAAAGUAGUCAGGUGAAGCUAGCUGGCUGUUUAUAACGUUUGUUUUGGGCAACAGGGUUAAGUAGCUGGCUGGCUAUUUAUUUCAAUAGGAGAACAACAAGUGGCUACCUAGCUAAUACUUACUCACAUGGAUUCCUAAACCAUUGCUAAGAAUAUUGAAAAUGACUGCAGUUUCUACUGGUUAUUGUUUUCAGGCUGGUUGCAUUGGUGCUAGCUAACUACCCCAGAAGUUGCUAAUAACUUCUGUAUCAAAGAUAUUUGCAAACAUUUCUGAUCCUGCUCGUUUGAUCCUGGUCUAAUUUCAAAUGCUCACACAGACGUUUUUCCCAUUUGGUUGAACAAAUAAUGCCAUAUUACCCAAUGCAGUAUUCUACAGCUUUGACUGUGAUGGUGGCGCUUGGCUUGCACGUGCAAAUUCAGAACACACAACAUUCUAUAAUAGAACUGUGUUAUUUGACGUCAAAUUAAAAUAUUAUUUGACCGUCAAAUAGUGUUAUUUGAUGUGUAUCUUUUUUGACACGCAAAGACCCAAACGGCGUUCCAUAUGUAUUGAGAAAAGAGCAGCCUUUUGAUAAGAAAGCUAAUAUCCACAUCCUUCUCCCUCAUACAUUCACUCUUCUUCCAUCCCUCCCUAAGAUCUCUCUUCUCCAAGAUCCCGCUCUGUCCUCCUCCCUCCCUCUUCUCUUCGUCUCCGUGUGUAAUAUAAUUAGUGUGUAGGGAGAUGAAGAGUAGCGCAGAGAGGAUGUUGGGAUGUGUAAUCCAUCCAUUACCUGGCUGUCGAGCCCAGAGCAGACCCCUGAUAAUACAACUAUUAAUAUGCUCUGUGUAAGUGUGUGUGUGGCUCAUGUAUAUGUGUGUGUGUGUACAGCUCCUGAUAUUUAGACCAUUAAUACGCUAUUUAGCCAAGGCGUCGUGACGGUGACAAACUACCAUCGUGUCGCCCUGGGGAGCGUGUUCACGCUGCGAAGCUCACCACAGCAAUGCAGAGCAUUAAUACAUGCUAAGGAGCUCAAACACACAGUGUAGACACAACACACACACACAGAGUAGACACACACACCACACACACAGAGAGAGAGUAGACACACACAGUGUAGAGACACACACCACACAAAGAGACCCACACCACACACACUGCUGUAUAUCCUCUCCCUCUGUCAGCGUGUUGGGGGUCCAUGUCUCAUUAGAGCAGGCUUGUGGGGGGAAGGGUUAAUAUGUACUAUGUAUCUUACAAGACGCAUAAGGACAUGAUUGGAUGAUCAAAGAAAAUGGAGACUACCCUCUCUUUCCCCAUCUUUUUCAUUAUCAAUAUAUCUAGAUGCAGAAAGUGUACACCAGUUCUUCCCACUGUAGCCAUCAAUGUGCCUAUGGGGGGGUCUAAUCCACCUGAAUAUCUAUGUAAUCUAUUGAAAGUGUAGGGUGAGGGAUGAGAGCUGGACAUGAUUCUCAGAGAAGGUAGGAGACAGGGAGCUAUCACUCUCUUCUAUCCUCCCUUCUUUUUUUCUCCUCCUGCCCCACUCCCUCUCUCACUGAAGAUGGAAGUACCUCAGACGGAUGUCUGCUGCUGUUUGUCUCAAAUCCUCAACGCUGGCUGCUGAGCUCGGCAAGGCCUAAUUAAGAUCAAUAUUUCAAUGUUUUUGUAAAAGCGCACAAGAAGAGAGGGAAAGGGGGAUACCUAGUCCGUUGUACAACUGAAUGCAUUCAACUGAAAUGUGUCUUCCGCAUUUAACCUCUGUAUCAGAGAGGUGCUGGGGGCUGCCAUAAUCGACAUCCACGUCUUCAGUGCCCAGGGAACAAUGGGUUAACUGCCUUGCUCAGGCAGAACGACAGAUUUUUACCUUUGUCAGGUCGGGGAUUCGAUCCAGCAACCUUUCGGUUACUGGCCCAACACUCUAACCGCCAGGCUCUACUCUAACCGCCAGAGGUGGAGAGAGAGAAAAUAGAAUAAAAAUCUUCUUUCCAGAAGUUUCCCUGAGCACAAACAGAAAGGUGAACUGUGUUUCUUCUUCCCAGCUGAUUGCAGUAAAAUACAAAAUGAUUAUAAGCAGAUUGACUGGUCCAACAAUAAAGAUCACAGUUCCUUAGUGAGAAAGUAUUCAUUAGCUCUCUCUCCUCACUCUCUCUCUCUUCACUCUCUCUCUCUUCACUCUCUCUCUCCUCACUCUCUCUCUCUUCACUCUCUCUUCACUCUCUCUCUCCUCACUCUCUCUCUCUUCACUCUCUCUCUCUUCACUCUCUCUCUCUUCACUCUCUCUCUCUUCACUCUCUCUCUCCUCACUCUCUCUCUCCUCACUCUCUCU
rnacentral:lncRNA from 13 species